CUCUAUAUGAGUAUAUUGACUUAGGAGCCAAGUAAGAAUACUUGAUCACAGGUCAUACUCAUGGAUUAAGCACAAGUGGGGUUACCACUUUUACAUAAUACAUUAAUUUGUUCGAAUCAUUUAGGAGACGCUUAUACUCAAGUCUUAGAAUAAAGCUCCGCCUAGAUGUGACAUCCCCCCUAAGAGGUAUCCGCUAACCUUGGGUUUUAUUGUAGAAG
rnacentral:lncRNA from 1 species